CAGUGUGACACUUCCUCCCCCUUCCCCCAAGCUGAACUGUUAGCAAUGGAGUCAGUCUGGCUAGACUAAAGGAGGCUAAUGACCUUGUCAGCUGGGAAAUGGAACUAUUGGUAACUCCUUGGAAGUAAUGGUCACCCUUGACCCUAAUCCAGGAGCUUCGGAAUCCAGAUAUGUGAUUUUGUU
rnacentral:lncRNA from 1 species